ensembl:lncRNA
GUGACAGGUCAAUAACAACAAUGGAAAGAACGGAAAGAACGGAAAGAACCUCCAGAGAGACAGAAACAUACGGCAAAAACUUAGGUGACAGGUCAAGAACAACUACGGAAAGAACGGAAAGAACGGAAAUAACCUCCACAGAGCGAGAAACAUAUGGCAGAAAAUUAGGUGACAGGUCAAGAACAACAACGGAAAUAACGGAAACAACGGAAAUAACAGAAAGAACGGAAAUAAUAACGGUAAAAACGAAAAUAACCUUUAGAGAUACAGAAACAUACGUCAGACAAUUUGGUGACAGAUCAAGAACAACAACGGAAAUAACUUAAAUAACGGAAAUACCGGAAAUAACCUCCACAGAGACAGAAACAUUCGGCAGAAAAUUAGGUGACAGGUCAAGAACCACAACUGAAAUAAUGGAAAUAACGGAAAUAACGGAAAAAACGGAAAUAAUAACGGUAUUAACGGAGAUAAUCUCCAGAGAGACAGAAAGAUACGUCAGACAAUUUGGUGACAGAUCAAGAACAACAACGGUAAUAACUGAAAUAACGGAAAUAAUGGAAAUAACCUCGACAGAGACAGAAACUUAGGGCAGAAAAUUAGGUGACAGGUCAAGAACAACAACGGAAAGAACUGAAAGAACAGAAAGAACUGGAAGAACGGAAAGAACGGAAAUAAACUCCGCAGAGACAGAAACAUAUGGCAGAAAAUUAAGUAACAAGUCAAGAACAAAAACGGAAAUAACUGAAAUAACAGAAAUAACGGAAAUAAAGGAAAUAACGGAAAUAACGGAAAUAAAGGAAAUAACCUCCACAAAGACAGAAACAUACGGCAGAAAUUUAAGUGACAGGUCGAGAACAACAACGGAAAUAACUGAAAUAACGGAAAUAACAGAAAGAACGGAAAUAAUAACGGUAAAAACGAAAAUAACCUUUAGAGAUACAGAAACAUACGUCAGACAAUUUGGUGACAGAUCAAGAACAACAACGGAAAUAACGGAAAUAACGGAAAUAACGGAAAUAACCUCGACAGAGACAGAAACUUACGGCAGAAAAUUACGUGACAGGUCAAGAACAACAAUGGAAAGAACGGAAAGAACCUCUAGAGAGACAGAAACAUACGGCAAAAACUUAGGUGACAGGUCAAGAACAACAAUGAAAAUAACAGAAAAAACCGAAAUAAUGGAAAUAAUAACAAAAAAACGGAAAUAACGGAAAUAACGGAAAUAACCUCCACAAAGACAGAAACAUAUGGCAGAAAAUUAAGUGACAGGUCAAGAACAACAACGGAAAGAACGGAAAGAACGGAAAGAACCUCCAGAGAGACAGAAACAUACGGCAAAAACUUAGGUGACAGGUCAAGAACAACAACGGAAAUAACAGAAAAACCAAAAUAACGGAAAUAAUAAAGGAAAUAACAGAAAAAAAUAACUGAAAUAAUAACGGAAAUAAUGGAAAUAAUGGAAAUAUUGGAAAUAACGGAAAUAAACUUUACAGAGACAGAAACUUACGGCAGAAAAUUAGGUGACAGGUCUAGAUCAACAACGUAAAUAACGGUAAUAACAGAAAUAAAGGAAAUAACCUCCACAGAGACAGAAAAAUACGGCAGAAAAUGAGGUGACAGGUCAAGAACAACAAUGGAAAAAAUGGAAAGAACGGAAAGAACCUCCAGAGAGACAGAAACAUACGGCAAAAAAUUAG